GCUGAGGCAGAGACAGCCGCUGGGUGUUGCAGGUCAGGAGGGGGGAGAGGGGAGGGAGGAGAAGGCACACGUGCUUGCAGCCUUCCUCCCGUCCCCUCCCCUCCCCUCCCCUCUCCCCAGCAGUCGCCUAGAGGAGACGCCGAGGGAGCUUCUGGUCUGGUGGGAGACACAGGAAUCUCUGCAGUGGACCUCACUCACCUGAACAGCUGCUGGGGCUUCCAACGUAGCCUGUGAGAAUGCUGAUAAAUACACAAGAAGAAAAUGCAAAUAAGGUCACAUGUUCCUCAGAGAGAUCUCUAGAGAUUAUCCAGACACCCAAACCAUGUCCUCAUUAUAUAAUAUAACAGCAGCAGUCCAUCUACUAUUCAGUUUUUGGAUGAUUCUACUGGAAAAUGCUUACCAGAACGGUUUAUGAAUGUUUUGAAUGAGAAUAAAAUAAAGCUUCAGGACUGCAGCGACCAGAGCUAUGACAACAGUACGAAUAUAAAAGCAAGAAACAGUGGCAUACAGGCAAGGAUCCUUGCGCUGAAUCCAAGAGCUUUCUUCAUGCCUUGUGGCUGCCAUUCCCUCUACCCGAUUGUGUCAGAUGCAGCGUCAUCAUCUUCAGAUUCAGUAUCUCUCUUCAGAGUACUGCAAAGGAUCUACAUCCUGUUUUCAGCAUCAACCAUCAGAUGAAAGAUCCUCAUGGACUAUGUUACAAAUCUGCCAACAAAGCCACUAAGUGACACUCGCUGGGAGAGGCUCAUUUACAGCAUAAGGCCAGUGAGGUUCUAAGUGACUGAGGUUUACGAUGCUUUGAUGGAACUGGCACAGUCAAGUAAAGCGAAGGCCAGAAUAUGACACAAGGUGCAAGGUCUGGCAAACUAGAUAAUUGAAUUCAAAUUUCUGGUCUCAACUGUGGUUUGGCACAAUAUCCUGUUCCAAGUAAAUGUUGUAAGCAAAGCAUUAAAAAUCUCAGUCAAUGGACAUUGUGACUGCUAUAAUUUUGAUGAGAAGCUGCCUAGAUUUCACUGUGGCCUACAGAAACAACAGAUUUGAAGAUGCCAUUGCUGCUGACAAAGAAAUGAUGGAAAACUUAAGAGCUGAGUCUGUCUUCAAGGAAACUCAUAUUCAGAAGAAGAAGAGACAGUUUGGUUACAAGUGCAGAGAUGAGGUGAUGGGAAGCUCGGAGGAGAAAUUCAAGAGUGAGAUUUUUUGCUUGCUUAUUACACUGCUCGAGUGUCCAUUGAAGAAAGGUUUGGUCAAAUGAAGCACCAUGGAAAUACCCUGGGAGGGUUGGAUGAUUUUAGUAAGUUGCCAGUGGAUGGGAAAACCUUCUUGAAAAAUUGAAGGACCUUCACAGAUGCUGGCACAUGGAGAAUGUUCAGAUAUCAAUGAUAAAGACUCUAUGUCGAAUUGGACAACAUCUGUGACAUUUUGCCACACGUGAAUAACUUUCCACUCCAAGUUCUCCAAUUCAUUCAUUGGAGAGCUAAAGGACACUUUUCCUAAUCUGUGGAUAGCUUUGAGGAUUCUGCUCAUGCUGCCUGUCACAUUUGCGAGUGGUGAGCGCAGCUUUUUGAAGCUCAAGCUCAUUAAAACAUAUUUUUGAUUGAUGAUUGUCUCUCAUUGGCUGACAUCAUAUGCAAUUUUACCACUUGAAAUUGACAUUGGCCAGUCUUUGGAUCUCUCUGACACUGUGCUUCAGUUUACGAGGGCAAAAGCAAGAAAAGCGACUUUCUGAACUAAAGGACUACGGAAUUAUCCUAUAACCACAAGGAACAUAGAAGGAGGCAGCAAAAAAUUUCACACCAAAAAGGUUCAGACAGAGACUUCCUGUGUGACCUUGGGCAAGUCACCUAUUCUACCUUGUGCCUCAGUUUCCCAUCUGUAAAAUGGAGAAAAUACUUCCUUCUCUUACAGGGAGGUUGUGAGGAUGACAUACAUGAAUGAUUGAGGGCGAGGUGCUACAACUCUAAGAACAGCUGAAAGCAAAGAUUUCCAGAAGCAGGAACCUAACUUCAUACCGAGGCAUCUACAUGCAUGGCCUGAUUUUCAAAAUGCUGAACACCCAACAGUUCUUCUGCAAGUUAAUGAAAAUGUACACCACACUCCACACCAUACACUACUUAAUCACCAUUGAAUGACCAAGUCCCAAAAUCUCAAUCCAGCAGCCCUUGAUUAGGGCUAAAUUAUACCCCCUGUACAAAAUAUCCAUGGAGGGGAAUGAAAAAUUCCACUAGUUUCAUCUUGAAGAGUUUCUGACAAAUCACCCUGGGGGAGGUGAGAUUCAUUCUCCCUCAUCUCCCAUGGAACAAGCAAGAAAAAUGCACUCACAAGAUAGCUGGGAGUGCUAGUUACUCCCUAAGCCUAGAGAAAUACCAUGGGGCUUCCAGAAAAUGAGUGAAUUCUUUUCCAGGUAUAUGACUAGUAGGUCUUGACCACAUGCUCAGCAUUUAACUGAUUGCAAUAUUUGGGGUCGGAAAGGAAUUUUCCCCCAGCUCAGAGACCCUGUUUUUUUGUUUUUUGCUUUCCUCUGCAGCAUGGGUCACAGGUCACUUGCAGGUUUAAAUUAAUGUAAUUUGUAGGUUCUCUGUAACUUGAAGUCUUUUAAUCAUGAUCUGAGGACUUCAGUAAUUCAACCAGAGGUUAUGGGUCUAUUACAGGAGUGGGUGGGUGAGGUUGUGUGGCCUGCAAUGUGCAGGAGGCCAGACACGACAAUCAUGAUGGUCCCUUAUGGCCUCAAAGUAGGAGUCCAAGUCUAUGAGUGGUAGAGGAAGAAAAGGAGAACUCCCCAUUGUACCUCAGCUCCGUUAGGGGUAAAUGAUAUCAAAGAAAGUCUUGCCUGAGUAAGGAUUGCAGGAAUGGGUCCCCCUUAAUACUGGUCCUGUGUGUGCCUAUACAAGACCUAAAAGGAGAUAUGUUCCUUCCCCCUGGGACACUUACAUUCUAAAUAGAUAGGCACCAUGAGCAUGCACUGAUGGACCCAAAGGAUGGCCCCAGCUUAGCAUGUUAUUUGUAUUAUGUAAUGGUGUGCUGACAGCUUUUAUUGACAGGUUAUAGAAUUUGUGGGCCUCAGGGAAGAAGCGAAUCUUCUGGAAAUAUUUGAAUUGAAAGAGGGAAGAUGCCUUGUGGAAAGGGAAAGAAUUCCAGACACGUGGAACAGCAUGGACAAAGCCAUAGGGACUAGAGUGAAAGAAAACAAAAAACCAUGUAGGGUAGUGGGCCUCAUUGGUGGAAUGUAGUUGGUAAGGAAGGGGAUGCAAUUCCUUGACAGUGAGGGAAAGAAGCUUCUGAUUCCUUAAAAAAGAUCUAUGAAAUUACAGAAUUAGAAUCUUUUUCAAACCCGAGCCUUUCCUAUGGAAUUCUCUGAUAUUUAUCAGCUAUGGGUACAAUGUCACAGAGUUGCACACACACUAUCUCUUACACAAAUUAGACUGGUUUCUUAGCAAUGACUACAAAAGGAAAUAAAGUUCAGUCUCAGUCAGCAGGAAGAGUGACAAGCCUGCAUUAUUCUAAUUCAACCCACCCUGCAGGAUAUUCCUUGGUGCAGAGAAACUUGUGAACUCAUUGACUGAACACCGGGCUUCAUGGUGUCUGACUUUGUCUCCUUUAUGUAGCCUAGAAUUCUGAGUAACCUUUUGUUUUGCCCUUCAUUUAAUGUUUUGUAUGUGUGCUGAAUUUAUUUCCUUUUUGAGAAUGAAAUAUUUAUCAUAGGACAGAUUUAUUCAUUCAUGAGUUAAGAAGGUGACAACUGUUUUUUCCCCCCAUGUAUGUCAGCUAAUGCACUGUAAACUUUGACUAGGAGAGGUAUCUCUCAAAGUGAAGGGUAGUUACUAUAACCUUUGGAUUUGCAAACCUUCUUGAAUUUGGUUUCUCAACUGGAUUCAGUGCUUAUCGAGAUUCACAGACUGUGAAGUAAAUCUUCUGUUUCUGACCCUCCCUCCUCUAAUUUUUCUUUCCUAAUGAUUAAUUUUAGCAAUUCUUGAUUUUUAAAAGAAAGAAUUAUGCAAAAGAAGUUUCAGCAUUAAGAAAGAAAAAUAUCCCAAUUCAGCCCAGGAUGAUCUAUGAAUGAAUCAGUUAUAAGAGAGAAAGGAAAUGGGCUUUGGCUUUGAACCAACUGCCUGGAAUUGUCUAAAGAGUAAUAUCACUCUGUCAUUUGUUACUGUAAAAUCAAUGAGUGAAUUUCUUUAAUAAAAACACUUCCAGCCAGGA